GGCCGACGCACGGGCGCCCACACGCACGGUGAGGCCUGUGAUCAUCGGCGUAAUCUAAUCUUCAGACCACGUAAACAACGACCAGUUUACCUGCCGGGUCCGUAUUCUGUAUACUGAAGCCCGGCCCAUGCUUCUGCGUCUGCGUCUGCGUCGUGUGUUGCAGAGCAAUUCACCUCCUGAACAAUAGGUGUAAAUGAUAACAAACACCAACAAAGGGAAGAGUUUAACAAAUGCCUUCGAAGGCUGAACCCGUUUCUGGUGGUGCAGAGCCGUCUUGUGGAAGAAUCACCUUAUGGCAUUAUAGAAAACAGAAGGUGUGACAUGCCCACCAUAAAUGUAGUAACGUCAGUAGUUACACGUGAGUAAAUACAGCCGCCUAGUGGAGCGGCCACACGAGGCUCGCUUCACUUCAUGGAGAGAACCCGCCGUUGUUGGUCGCAGCUGAAUUCCUCCUGGAAGAGCCUUCGGACAUUAUUCGUCUGCCUGAUUCGGAUCACAGUAAAGCUGUUACCGUAUUUUAUGUCACAGCAAUUUCAAGUCUUGGUGUCCCUCUGGUGGACAAAAGACAAAAACAGAACAACACAAGGUGAUCUGUGUUCAUCCUCACUGGCACGUUUUUUGCAAGGGGCUGUGAUUUAUUCACGCAAUGAAAGGCUUCAGUCAAGAUAAAAACAUCAUAACAAGAAAGUCUUUUGUUUUUG
ensembl:lncRNA